rnacentral:rRNA from 1 species
GACGAACGCUGGCGGCGUGCCUAAUACAUGCAAGUCGAACGAAGCUGUUUUAACUGGUGCUUGCACCGACUUAAACAACUGAGUGGCGAACGGGUGAGUAACACGGGGGUAACCUGCCCCAAAGCGGGGGAUAACAUUUGGAAACAGAUGCUAAUACCGCAUAACCACAGAAACCACAUGGUUUCUGUGUCAAAGAUGGUUUCGGCUAUCACUUUGGGAUGGACCCGCGGCGUAUUAGCUAGUUGGUAAGGUAAUGGCUUACCAAGGCAAUGAUACGUAGCCGAACUGAGAGGUUGAUCGGCCACAUUGGGACUGAGACACGGCCCAAACUCCUACGGGAGGCAGCAGUAGGGAAUCUUCCACAAUGGACGAAAGUCUGAUGGAGCAACGCCGCGUGAGUGUAGAAGGUUUUCGGAUCGUAAAACUCUGUUGUCAGAGAAGAACGUGUGCGAGAGUAACUGCUCGUGCAGUGACGGUAUCUGGCCAGAAAGCCACGGCUAACUACGUGCCAGCCGCCGCGGUAA